UACGUAGGGGGGCAAGCGUUGUCCGGAAUCAUUGGGCGUAAAGAGCGUGUAGGCGGCCAGAUAAGUCCGCUGUGAAAUCUCGAGGCUCAACUUCGAGCUGUCGGUGGAAACUGUCUGGCUAGAGUCCGGAAGAGGAGAAUGGAAUUCCUGGUGUAGCGGUGAAAUGCGCAGAUAUCGGGAGGAACACCAAUGGCGAAGGCAGCUCGCUGGGACGGUACUGACGCUGAGACGCGAAAGCGUGGGGAGCAAACAGG
rnacentral:rRNA from 1 species